rnacentral:tRNA from 1 species
GGCCUCGUGGCCUAAUGGCUAGGGCGCUAGAUUUCGGUGCUUACAAGCUGAUUCUCUAGAGAUUGUCGGUUCGAGUCCGGCCGAGGUCG